rnacentral:rRNA from 1 species
UGGGGAAUAUUGCACAAUGGGCGCAAGCCUGAUGCAGCCAUGCCGCGUGUGUGAAGAAGGCCUUCGGGUUGUAAAGCACUUUCAGCGGGGAGGAAGGCGAUAAGGUUAAUAACCUUGUCGAUUGACGUUACCCGCAGAAGAAGCACCGGCUAACUCCGUGCCAGCAGCCGCGGUAAUACGGAGGGUGCAAGCGUUAAUCGGAAUUACUGGGCGUAAAGCGCACGCAGGCGGUCUGUCAAGUCGGAUGUGAAAUCCCCGGGCUUAACCUGGGAAGUGCAUUCGAAACUGGCAGGCUAGAGUCUUGUAGAGAGGGGUAGAAUUCCAGGUGUAGCGGUGAAAUGCGUAGAGAUCUGGAGGAAUACCGGUGACGAAGGCGGCCCCCUGGACAAAGACUGACGCUCAGGUGCGAAGGCGUGGGGAGCAAACAGG